GAAAGGUUUAUCUACAUGGGGACAUCUGGGAGAGUUAAGAGGUGGGGUUUUCAUGACUGUAGCUAAUGAAACUCUUAUCAGUUGAAAUACAUUUUAAGAAAUCGCCUGUAAAAAGUGCUGCUGCCACAUUUACUAAGAUCUUCAAGGAACCUGAUUCCAAAAGUCAUGCUUAUCCGAUCAGGAAACAAAUAUAUCUUUGGACCUCUGUAUCCAAUCAACACGGCUCAAAUUUUGAAUACGAACCAGCAACAAACCAACAGCUUGAAUGAACUUCAGAGGAAUCCAUUUCAAAAGUCCACUGGACUAUAGAAGAGAGGGGUAAAGAACCCCACGUUAUCUUUCACCUAGGAAGACAAGGGGAACCAGCAUUUUGUACUUCUGCGGAAGAUCCUGAGAGAGAGAGAGUCAACCGGGCCAGGCAAAGAGCAAUUGG